GUUGGGUAUGGUGGUGCACGCCUGUAAUCCUAGCAGCUAGAGAGGCUGAGGCAGGAGGAUCACGAGUUCAAAGCCAGCUUCAACAAAAGUGAGGCCCUAAGCAACUCAGUGAGACCCUGUCUCUA
rnacentral:sRNA from 1 species